rnacentral:lncRNA from 1 species
AUCUAUCAGACCAGAUGAUGGGUUGUAGCAUCUGCUCACCAUUUUCUGUUUCUCUCCCAAACUAGCUUUGGUCCUGGUAUGCCAAACUUACCCAGCAAUGACGGGAGAGUGCCUUUUUCUGCUCUGAUGUACUAAAUUGAAGCUUGAAAGGAAUAAUAAACUGGAGGAAUUCCAUGGGGACUGGAACAACCUCCAGGAAGUGAUGCAGAGCGAGAGGAGCAGAACCAGGAGAAUAUUGUACACAGAGACUGAUACA